UACGAAGGGGGCUAGCGUUGCUCGGAAUCACUGGGCGUAAAGCGCACGUAGGCAGCUUUUUAAGUCAGGGGUGAAAUCCUGGAGCUCAACUCCAGAACUGCCUUUGAUACUGGCGAUCUUGAGUCCGGAAGAGGUGAGUGGAACUCCUAGUGUAGAGGUGGAAUUCGUAGAUAUUAGGAAGAACACCAGUGGCGAAGGCGGCUCACUGGUCCGGUACUGACGCUGAGGUGGCGAAAGCGUGGGGAGCAAACAGG
rnacentral:rRNA from 1 species